CGUAUCACGUGACUGUUCGACGAAAUUAGGAGAGAUCCGGAUACCAAGCUGGAACGAUUAGAAGGUGUGAGCAAGUGAGUAAGCACGCGUCACGAGGAAAUAGAAAUCGCGGGCCUCGUCGCGUCGCGUCGUCGUUUCGGUAUAAGGAAGAAAAUUUUCAAAUUUUAUCACAGACACGACGACCGAUCGUUCUUUCCCAGGCUCCAUUCUGGCCAUUCAGCUCUGAGAGACACAUGAGAGGAAUAUGUAUAACUCUAGGAUCCGAAAUAUAAAUC